UCACAUCUUCUCUCUUUGACAAAAUCAGCUUUACACAGAUGCUGGGGAGACAUUAUCCUCUGCACUGUGCAGGUCACAUUAAGGAGCUGCAGGACAUCCUUAUGGAAACUCUGCCUUUUUUUUUGUGGCCCGACACACCUAUAUAAAUCAGGAGCGCCCAAAAGCUUCAAGGCAGCACUGUAACAGAACCAUGAAAGAUGCAAGUAUCUGGGAAAGGAAGUUUGUAAUGACUUACUAACAGUUGCAAUAUUACCAAGAGCAGAUGGGGGUAUGUAACGAUCCAGCUGAGAUCUGUAACAGGUUAACAACCUUCCUCAUAACAGGUGAUAUUUAAAAGAAACUGGCUACCAGCUAGAUAUAAGGGGGCAGGGGUGUGAGGGCAAAAGGCAAAGAUAAAUAAAUGAGGGUUAAGUUAGGAGGAAAGGUUACUGUUUCUUCAAAGACAGAAGGGCCUAUGAAAUUGAUAUUAAUGAGUAAACUUUUGAAUCAGAGUAGAGCUGAACUCUAGAGAAAUCCAUCUCUGUUUCAGGGGUCUGAGUCCUUUCAAAAAGGCUGAACCAUUUCAGGCUCAUACUGCACUGAAGAGGAACAGAAAAAGUCAAUGGAAAACUACUUAACUGAGGCAGAAGGAUCAGCUUGAGAGCACAGCCCCUGCCCCCCUGCAGAUGGGAAUUCAUUUACUAAAAGGAGAGUUGGCAGCAGAGACCAUUCUGAGCUCUAUGGGCUGUGUCUCUUCAGGAGACAGGAUUAUUGCAAACACUCCCUUUGUGCUAAGAUAUUUAAACAGUCUUCCUGGCAAUGUUAAAAAUGUAAGGUGUACAUGAUUAUGAAAUAUAACUAUACAAUGACUUUCACAUUUAGAAAGCAACAGGACGCUUUCCAGCUGCGGCCGCCACGCUGGCAGAGUAUGACAUCACUCUGAGCAUUUAUUUCUGGAGACAGAAUUUUGCUCCCUCUACAAAGCUUUCCCCUCUGCACCUGACAGGCUCUGCUGUUUGAGUUAAGUACCACCAUUACCUGUUAGUUACUCAAACUCACUGAGAAAUCCAAACCGUGAAUGCAGGACAGUACUUGGGAGAAAAUCUUCCUUUUGCCUUCAUGGGGAUGAGAUACUUCCACAGGUAUCCCAUGCGCUUGUAGUACUGUCUGGCUCUACCUUUGUGUAGGGUAGGCUGUCAUAUCAGUCCAGGUUUCCUGGCUAAACCCAGAUGAUAUCUGAAAACAUAUGAAAGGUGUCAUCUAGACCAAAAUCUCCAGGACAGUUUUGCUGAAGAUAAGAGACAAAUUCCCAACAUAAAUGCAGCAGACACCUGCCAGCUUUCUGAGUGAGCGGGUCAUAAAGCAAGCACAGCUCAGAAAAGUCGAGGUGUAUAUGACAUCUGAAUGAGAGGUAAAAGAUAAAAACAGCUUUUGUACAUGUGUGGCUGGGAAACAGCCGAAUAAAACAAAGUCAAUGUGAAUGCCAGCAUGGUUUGCAGCCCAACAAAAUGCAAAGCCACAUUGUGUGGAGUGAAGCAAAUAGCCUCUCUGAUUUUGAAAGCUGGAAGAAAAGCCAACAGGAGAAGGGAAGGAAGGUGAGCUGGGAGCAGCAGCUGCUGGAUUCUGUCAAGCUCUUCCAGAUGAGGAAGGCUGUGGGAAGAUGUGAGGCCAUAAUAAGAGUGCAUUGUGAUGUGUCUUCUUUUGGUUAAAAUGGAGAGGAACAGCAAUGUAAUCCUGUGGAUCAAAAUCCAACCAGAGCAACACAGUCUGGCCCUGCUGUGUCCAUUCCUUUGCUGUCAUGGGUAACAAACGUUCUGUCCAAAGUGACCAGAAGACAUCCAUCCACUUAUGCCCCAAUCUACCAACAUCCAACACUUAAGAAAACAAGGAAACUGGGAGCCUAGAAUGGCAUCUUCCUCAUCAGUUGGAAAUCUCAAGUAAUUUAUCCUCUCAGGAACCCAAGAGUAAUCUCACUGCUGCUCAGCCUGCUACUUGGUUUUGGCUGCGUUUCUUAUAGAACCCUCUUUAUUCUUGCUUUCUACUGCCGAAGUCUCGUUGCCUCUCACGACUGAGUUACCUGUCUGCUAUUUUGGACUCAGUUGUAGUGUAUUCUCUGUGAUUUCUUUUCAUCUAGACUUGCCUCUGUGUGUGUGUUUGCCUUGUUCCUUGCCUGAUGGACUUUGAAUGUCCCUGACCAUUGGACUACCUUUGGGCCAUCCUUGUUGCUCAGACUCCCAGCCUCAGCUCCACCUUGGUCAAGGUACUGGGCUCCCCUCUGGGUUAGAAAGUUCUCACUUAGCUGUAGUCCCUGACCUUUUUUCACUGUGACUCCCAUACAAUGAUCCUUGUUGCAAAACACCAGAAGUCAUACUGACUAAAAUAGGUCAACACAAAACAACAGACAAAUGAGGGGCACCUACAGUAAUUAGGAAUUAGAUGAAAGGCCCCUAUGAUCCAAGGAGAUGCAUUCCCAUCUUCCUUCAAACUGUCACUUCUGGCAAACAGUUUUUGCAAGAUGCUUUUCAGCAGCUGUACACAUUUGUCCUCAAGGGGACUUACUGUUGAACUGAUCCUGUUAGUGCUACAAAGAACUACUGGUGCUGACAGACACUUUGAUGUGCUAAACUAAGUCCCAGGAGGCAUAGGUACCGAGAGCAGCCCUGCAAAAAUACGGCUGGCAGAUAAUCAUAACUGGCCAGAAUUUUUAUUGUAAUAAAUCAAUAUUUGAUCAGCAACAAAUAUUUCCUCUGAUCUUUCUUUUGCUUCAUAAGGCAGAACACAAAGUACAAUGACCCUGCUCUUGAGAAAGCCACGAGUUUGAAGUAAAGCAAAGAAUUCAAGUUACUACAAGAUGCUGAACACACGGGUCUCUUCUUGGCUGUCUGCAAGAUGUUGCCUGAAAGUCGAGAAGGGCUCUGACCUGGCGGAAGAAGAAAUGAUAAAGCCAGCCAUAUUUUUUUUCCCAGCAUGGACAUCUCCAUAAAAGGAAAAAAUGGAUAAUGACAUAGAGGCUGUGACUUGAGGAAAGCUUGCCAUUAUCUUAUCUUUGCUUGUCUGCUUGAAACUAAAUGGAAAAGACUUUCUGUAAUAUCUUUCAUUCUAGGUAAGGGAUUGUUGUGCCCAGAAAUGUUUUUUUUUGUUUGAUUUUUUUUUUGGGUGGGGGGUGGGUUGUUUUUUUUGUUUGUUUGUUUUUUGUUUUUGGCAGAGAUUUUCUCCCCUGUGGAAAUUUCAGUAUUAGAAUAUUCUAGUGCAAAAUGGAUUUAUUUAUUUUUUUUGGUUUAUAUCCAGAAAGACUUUAAUUCAGAAAUGCUUCUAUUUUUCCUUAUGGAAGUUGCAAUCCUGACCUAGACAGACAAAGCAGGUGCCCAAAGUACCCUGUUUUGAUCCACUCAGGCUACCCUUAAUGACUCCUGGAAGGGCAAUGACAUCAUGUGAGUCCUGACCUUGGUGCACCAUAAAACCAAGUCGAGAGCCUUUUCUGCAGAAGAGAAGGACACCCUGCAGCAUCUGAACCCCGGAGUGUCAAAAAUUUUUUAAAAAUGAAUUGUCAAAUACACAUAAUUUAUGGCUUGAUUUAAAACAAAACCAAACCAAACCCUAGUUUUCAC